CAGACUUCUCUGGUGACAGGCUUCACAAUCCUGCCCUUGCCUGGGACUCUUGGACAGCCCCAAGUUGAGCAAGUUGUUGCAAUUUAGCCUGGAGGGAUUGCAAAACCCUGCUGUGAUGGGGCAAGGCACCGCCCAUCUAAGAUGAUGAUGCCACGAGCAAGCUAGUCUGAAAACACCCUCCACGUGAAAGAGCUACAGUCCCCAAGGCCUGGGAGAAACUCUGUCCAGGUGUCUGCAUUCUGCUGCUUUGCUCAGCUAGGUUCAGCCUGCAGUUGUCCUGGACAUGCCUGAGCUCCAAGCAUGCGAUGAGAAGG
rnacentral:lncRNA from 1 species